UACGGAGGGUGCAAGCGUUAUCCGGAUUCACUGGGUUUAAAGGGUGCGUAGGCGGGUAUAUAAGUCAGUGGUGAAAGCUCCGAGCUUAACUUGGAAACUGCCAUUGAUACUGUAUAUCUUGAAUGUCGUAGAGGUUAGCGGAAUGUUGCAUGUAGCGGUGAAAUGCUUAGAUAUGUUACAGAACACCAAUUGCGAAGGCAGCUAACUAUGCGAUGAUUGACGCUGAGGCACGAAAGCGUGGGGAGCAAACAGG
rnacentral:rRNA from 1 species